CCACCUAUUCUUGGCAUGUUAAGUAUUGAAUAGUAACUUACCAUGUAUGUGAUGGUGGUACAUAAAAUGUGGACUGUCUUCGGUGCUGAAGUUCUACAUACUUCAGAUCCCUCCUCUAUGUUCACAACAAAA